rfam:Myotis brandtii contig156334, whole genome shotgun sequence.
AUGCUUACCUGUCAUGGGAAAUACCAUGAUCACCAAGGUGUUUUUCCCAGGGGGAGCCUUAUCCAUUGCAUUCUGCAUAUGCUGACCCCUGUGAUUUCCCCAAAUGUGGGAAAUUCGACUGCAUAAUUUGUGGUAGUGGAGGACUGCGUUCUCGCUCACACCUA